rnacentral:rRNA from 1 species
AGUCUGGUGCCAGCAGUCGCGGUAAUUCCAGCUCCAAUAGCGUAUAUUAUUAUUGUUGCGGUUAAAAAGCUCGUAGUUGGAUCUCGGUUUCGGGCGAGCGGUGUACCUUGCGGUAUUUACUGUUUGCCCGGACGAUUUUGUUGGUUCGUUUAUGGUUCUCUUAACCGAGUGCCAUAAGUGGCCAGCACGUUUACUUUGAAAAAAUUGGAGUGCUCAAAGCAGGCGCUACAGCCUGAACAUUAGUGCAUGGAAUAAUGGAAUAGGAUCUCGGUUCUAUUUCGUUGGCUUUCGGAGUCGAGGUAAUGAUUAAUAGGGACAGACGGGGGCAUUCGUACUGCGACGUUAGAGGUGAAAUUCUUGGAUCGUCGCAAGACGAACUACUGCGAAAGCAUUUGCCAAGAAUGUUUUCAUUAAUCAAGAACGAAAGUUAGAGGUUCGAAGGCGAUCAGAUACCGCCCUAGUUCUAACCAUAAACGAUGUCGACCGGCGAUCCGUUAUCGUUAACUGAAUGACUUAACGGGCAGCCUCCGGGAAACCAGAGUGUUUGGAUUCCGGGGGAAGUAUGGUUGCAAAGCUGAAACUUAAAAGAAUUGACGGAAGGGCACCACCAGGAGUGGAGCCUGCGGCUUAAUUUGACCCAACACGGGAAAUCUCACCAGGCCCGGACACCGGAAGGAUUGACAGAUUGAGAGCUCUUUCUUGAUUCGGUGGGUGGUGGUGCAUGGCCGUUCUUAGUUGGUGGAGCGAUUUGUCUGGUUAAUUCCGAUAACGAACGAGACUCUGGCCUACUAACUAGACGUUAGAUCCCUUUGUGGGUCUAUCGCAGCUUCUUAGAGGGACGGGCGGCGUUUAGCCGCACGAGAUUGAGCAAUAACAGGUCUGUGAUGCCCUUAGAUGUUCUGGGCUGCACGCGCGCUACACUGAAGGAAUCAGCGUGUGUUCCCUACCCGAAAGGGUUGGGAAACCCGUUGAACCUCCUUCGUGAUGGGGAUUGGGGAUUGCAAUUAUUCCCCAUGAACGAGGAAUUCCCAGUAGGCGCGAGUCAUAAGCUUGCGUCGAUUACGUCCCUGCCCUUUGUACACACCGCCCGUCGCUACUACCGAUCGAGUGAUUUAGUGAGGCCUUCGGACUGGUCUCCAGUAUGGCUUUCGGGUCGUGUUGGAGUACCGGAAAGAUGACCAAACUUGAUCACUUAGAGGAAGUAAAAGUC